UUCAAAUACUUGGCCUGGCUUAUUCUUCAUAACUCAGAAGGCUAUCCUCACAUUGGUAUGAUUGGAUUCCCUGAAGAAAAGAGGAUGGCUAUGCACUAACUGGUGUUGUUUGUGCAAAGAAUACGAGAAGACUCGUGGCCAGGCCCACAUUUUGCUCCAUGCACUUCUUUGGUUCCGUCGUUAUUCACAAGAAGAUUCAAUCAACAUCUAGCACCAUAUCUCGAAAUCCAGUUGAUCUAUGGCACACGUGGAUGAUUUAGUCAAAGGCUUCAAGUUUGCCAGUUUCCUUAAUCGCAUCGGCAAUUUUCCGGGCUACUUUGUCGGAUAGAAACAAUAGAAGUUUAGGACUCUUCUUGGGUUAGGAUCUUGGUCUGUGUUUGCCAUCGAGUUGCUACUUGGGUGCACUGCAAAGACAAAAGCCAAUUCAGCUUCAGAGGACGUGGAUUUGAGGAAGUUGCAGGUCCGAUUGAGGAUUGACUUCUAUAGAAGUUCGUUUAUUUGUGUGUUUCCACUGUUUUCUUUGGUCUUUGAGACUGGGGAUCCCUCACACUGUGCUCAGCUUCAACUACGAAUCCCUUGGAUGGGGGUAGUUGAGUGUUGACCACAACGAAAUCGGUGAAGGGGAUUUUUGGCGAAGACAGCAUGUACUCUGUUUUCUGCUCACCCUCCGGUUGUGUUGGGUGUACGUCUUGUACAUUGGGUUUUCAUUUCAAUGAAAUCAUUUACCAGUUAAUAAACAAAGUCAGCCUGUACAUUAAACCAAUUAAUCAUAUUGGGUUCUGCAGUUUUUCCUUUAAAAGCAAGGAAACAACAAAUUCUGGAAAGCUUUGCCUCCAUUUGUCAAUGUGUGUACCUCAGUUAGACUGAUCAUGGCAAAGCAAGCAACUUUUUUUUGGUUGUUCUUAAUUUUUUUGCAGGAUUCUGCUGCGAAGCUCGACCUAUCUACCAGAUCCCACCAGACAACUUAAACUGAC
rnacentral:lncRNA from 1 species